rnacentral:misc_RNA from 1 species
GAAAUGCGAUAAGUAAUGUGAAUUGCAGAAUUCAGUGAAUCAUCGAAUCUUUGAACGCACCUUGCGCUCCUUGGUAUUCCUUGGAGCAUGCCUGUUCGAGUAUCAUGAAAUCUUCAAAGUAAAUCUUUUGUUAACUCAAUUGGUUUCUACUUUGGUAUUGGAGGUCUUUGCAGCUUCACACCUGCUCCUCUUUGUUCAUUAGCUGGAUCUCAGUGUUAUGCUUGGUUCCACUCGGCGUGAUAAGUUAUCUAUCGCUGAGGACACUGUAAAAGGUGGCCAAGGUAGAUGCAGAUGAACCGCUUCUAAUAGUCCAUUGACUUGGACAAUACUUUUAUGAUCUGAUCUCAAAUCAGGUAGGACUACCCGCUGAACUUAAGC